rnacentral:lncRNA from 1 species
GGGUUUCAGAAUUUUGUAGUAAGAUGGAGCUUAAGAAGCUUCAAUGGUGGUAAAUAUCUUUUCGUCUGCUAGAACUUGAUAAAAAGGCAUGCUGAUGCCGAUGCCGAUGCAGAGCAAGUAAAUUGUUUUUUGUUAUAUAUGGGAAAGCAACGUUUGCUUUGGUUCUCUCUCUCCCCCCUCUCUUUUAAAGGCUACAUAAGCUGGAGGUUAGUACUUAGUAGAGGUUUAUUUCUAAGGAUUUGAACCUCAAUUUUUAAUUCUUAAAUAUUUAGAUUUCUUUUAUGAUAAGUGCUAAUUAAGUUAAUUCUUUUUAUGAAGUAUUCGAAAUCAGCCUCAAAGUUAUUAAAAAAACGAUUUGAUCCAAAGCAUAAUUAUUAAAAAAUCACCAAAAAUAAGAAAGAAAAACCCAAUUGUUUUCCCACUGCUUCUUCUUCUUCCACAACUAGCAAUUGGGAGUUAUAUAAAAAGGUUUAGGCUGAAUACAUCUCCAGCCCCUUAAACUUGUCCCUUUUUUUCAUUUAGGCACUUGAACUAAACUAUGUUCCUAUUAAACACCCGAACUCAAUAAAAAUAUAUCAAUUAGACACAAAUUGUUGACAUGUUAAAGUGAGCGUAAUUCACCUCCUUUGAGAGCGUGAAGUUAUGUUUCUCUUUCUCCUUCCUCCAUCUCCGAUCCGCUGCAUCCCUAUACUUCCAUAACACUAGCUCCAACACCAUCUUGCCCACCUCCACUAUUAUAGUCAUUAUUCCCAUUUUUUUGAACCACCAGAAAGGCCAUUGUCCACCAACAAUGGAAACUACCGUCCAACUCCACCAUCACCAUUUUUAUUGAAAAUUUAUUAUGCAAAUGUGUAGGUUGAAUUGGGGAAGCCACAUGGAUUCAAUUUCAACAAUAUUUCACAUUCAAACCAAAUUGGAAUCUAAUAAGAACCAAGUUAGAUACACCAAAAAUUCAUUUUUUGUAGGAAGAUCAAUAACCCAAUUGGAGAAUUGAAAAGCUAUUUGAUAGUAGGAUCUCAUUAAUAAUCGAUUCUUCUUCACAUUUUAUAUGUCAAGUGGCAAUUUGAUAAUUGGGUCUUCUGAAAUUGCCCCAACUUUUGUAAAUAGAGAAGACGAGUUUGAAUGGGAUGUGAUCAGUGCUAGAGGGAGCAUUUGUUGUUGUGGAGGAGGUGUCGAGUGGAGGACAAAACAGGGGUGGUGGAUGCCGGAGGCAGAGUUCUAAUUAGCGAUAGUGUGGCUGGAGGUCGUCGGUUGUGAUCCUUUUAUGCCGCUCCGUCAAGUGCCUUUACCGGUGGCAUCGUCGCCUCAAAACUUAUCACCAUAGAAGUUUCUGUAGUUUUUUAUGUGGGUUGUACUCCCUGAAUAAGAAGAAGAAGAUCCACGUUUUUUCUUCUUUCAAUUUUUUUUUGCUGAUGUGCCUUUUCUUUAUUGGUUUUAUUCCAUGUCAU